UAAAAAGAAGCGAUUAUCGCAAUCAGUUUCGACCUGAUCUAAGGUGAAAACCCUUUUUUUAA
rnacentral:tRNA from 1 species